CCUAACCCGCAAGGGAGGGAGCCGCCGAAGGUGGGAUUGGUGACUGGGGUG
rnacentral:rRNA from 1 species